rnacentral:rRNA from 1 species
AUGCUUAACACAUGCAAGUCGAACGGUAGAGAAGGAGCUUGCUUCUUCUUGAGAGCGGCGGACGGGUGAGUAAUGCCUAGGAAUCUGCCUGGUAGUGGGGGACAACGUUUCGAAAGGAACGCUAAUACCGCAUACGUCCUACGGGAGAAAGUGGGGGAUCUUCGGACCUCACGCUAUCAGAUGAGCCUAGGUCGGAUUAGCUUGUAGGUGAGGUAAUGGCUCACCUAGGCAACGAUCCGUAACUGGUCUGAGAGGAUGAUCAGUCACACUGGAACUGAGACACGGUCCAGACUCCUACGGGAGGCAGCAGUGGGGAAUAUUGGACAAUGGGCGAAAGCCUGAUCCAGCAAUACCGCGUGUGUGAAGAAGGCCUGAGGGUUGUAAAGCACUUUCAAUAGUGAGGAAUACCUGGGGGUUAACACUCCCCAGACUGACAUUAGCUAUAGAAGAAGCACCGGCUAACUCCGUGCCAGCAGCCGCGGUAAUACGGAGGGUGCAAGCGUUAAUCGGAAUUACUGGGCGUAAAGCGUGCGUAGGCGGCUUGUUAAGUUAGAUGUGAAAGCCCCGGGCUCAACCUGGGAAUUGCAUUUGAAACUGGCAGGCUAGAGUGCAGUAGAGGGAGGUGGAAUUUCCGGUGUAGCGGUGAAAUGCGUAGAUAUCGGAAGGAACACCAGUGG